rnacentral:rRNA from 1 species
UGGUUCAACUGAUUUGAAGAGCUUGCUCAGAUAUGACGAUGGACAUUGCAAAGAGUGGCGAACGGGUGAGUAACACGUGGGAAACYUACCUCUUAGCAGGGGAUAACAUUUGGAAACAGAUGCUAAUACCGUAUAACAAUGACAACCGCAUGGUUGUUAUUUAAAAGAUGGUUCUGCUAUCACUAAGAGAUGGUCCCGCGGUGCAUUAGCUAGUUGGUAAGGUAAUGGCUUACCAAGGCGAUGAUGCAUAGCCGAGUUGAGAGACUGAUCGGCCACAAUGGGACUGAGACACGGCCCAUACUCCUACGGGAGGCAGCAGUAGGGAAUCUUCCACAAUGGGCGAAAGCCUGAUGGAGCAACGCCGCGUGUGUGAUGAAGGGUUUCGGCUCGUAAAACACUGUUGUAAGAGAAGAAUGACAUUGAGAGUAACUGUUCAAUGUGUGACGGUAUCUUACCAGAAAGGAACGGCUAAAUACGUGCCAGCAGCCGCGGUAAUACGUAUGUUCCAAGCGUUAUCCGGAUUUAUUGGGCGUAAAGCGAGCGCAGACGGUUAUUUAAGUCUGAAGUGAAAGCCCUCAGCUCAACUGAGGAAUUGCUUUGGAAACUGGAUGACUUGAGUGCAGUAGAGGAAAGUGGAACUCCAUGUGUAGCGGUGA